rnacentral:rRNA from 1 species
ACCAGACUCCUACGGGAGGCAGCAGUGGGGAAUAUUGCACAAUGGGGGAAACCCUGAUGCAGCGACGCCGCGUGAGUGAAGAAGUAUUUCGGUACGUAAAGCUCUAUCAGCAGGGAAGAAAAAAAGUCCUUUGGACUUUGGACGGUACCUGACCAAGAAGCCCCGGCUAACUACGUGCCAGCAGCCGCGGUAAUACGUAGGGGGCAAGCGUUAUCCGGAUUUACUGGGUGUAAAGGGAGCGUAGACGGCUUGGCAAGCCAGAUGUGAAAGGCUGGGGCUCAACCCCAGGACUGCAUUUGGAACUGUCAUGCUAGAGUGUCGGAGAGGCAGGCGGAAUUCCCAGUGUAGCGGUGAAAUGCGUAGAUAUUAGGAGGAACACCAGUGGCGAAGGCGGCCUGCUGGACGAUGACUGACGUUGAGGCUCGAAAGCGUGGGGAGCAAACAGGAUGAGAUACCCCUGUAC